GGCUAAAUAGUUCAGUGGUUAAUGUGCCUUUUUUCCACGAGCCUGACCAGAGGAGUCCUGGGUUCAAAUCCUACCAUGGCCA